GUAAUGGGGGGCUAUGGGGGGUAUUAAACUGGUUUUUGCCCCCCCCCCAGUUUUGCCCCUUGUAAGAGGGAACAUGGAGAACCCAGAUGCCACCAGUCCCUUCGACUAUGACUGGUACCGGCUGCGCGUUGUGGGGCUGGUGGUGGCGGCUGUGCUGUGUGUCACCGGGAUCGGGAUCCUGCUCAGUGAGUGACAACUAUGGGGUCA